rnacentral:tRNA from 1 species
UCUCUGGUGGUCCAGUGGCUAGGACUUGGUGUUUUCACUGCUGUGUGCCCAGGUUCAAUCCCUGGUUGGGGAA